CGUGUUGCCUGCAAGGGCGUAUGGUGGAUGCCUUGGCAGACAGGACCGAUGAAGGACGUUUGAGGCUGCGAUAUGCCUCGGGGAGCCGCCAACAGGGCUUUGAUCCGAGGAUUUCCGAAUGGGGGAACCCACCGGCCGUCAUGGGCCGGUACCGCCGUGUGCGGGGGGUACGCAGGGAAGUGAAACAUCUCAGUACCUGCAGGAAAGGAUAUUCCGUGAGUAGUGGCGAGCGAAAGCGGAUCAGGCCAAACCUUGCGCGUGUGAUACCCGUCGGGGGUUGCGCGCGGGGUGUAGAGGGAUCGCGUUUGCCGGCUCCGACGGGCCGGCCGUCAGUUGCAUAAAACCAUGUGCCAGGGGAACCGGGUUGAAUACCGGGCCGCAGAGGGUGAGGGCCCCGUACCCGAACGCGCAUGGUCUGGCGAUCGCGUCUCCCAAGUAGCACGGGCCCCGUGGAAUCCCGUGCGAAUCUGUCCCGACCGUGGGAUAAGCCUAAAUAUUCCUGUCUGACCGAUAGCGAACGAGUACCGUGAGGGAAAGGUGAAAAGUACCCCGGGAGGGGAGUGAAACAGUCUCUGAAACCAUGCGCCUACGAACCGUCGGGGCCCUCUUGUGGGGUGACGGCGUGCCUAUCGAAAAAUGAGUCUGCGAGUCAGUGGCAUGUGGCGAGCAUAACCCGUGUGGGGUAUGCGUAGCGAAGGCGAGUCUUAAAAGGCGUUUGAGUCGCGUGUCCUGGACCCGAAGCGGGAUGAUCUAGCCCUGAGCAGGUUGAAGCGCGGGUAAGACCGUGUGGAGGACCGAACCCACCUGGGUUGAAAACCGGGGGGAUGACUUGGGGCUAGGGGUGAAAGGCCAAUCAAAUUCCGUGAUAGCUGGUUCUCUCCGAAAUGCAUUUAGGUGCAGCGUCGGAUCGAUUACAUCCGGGGGGUAGAGCGACUGGAUGCUUGCGGGCCCAUAUCGGGUACCAACAGCAACCAAACUCCGAAUACCCGUGAUGCGUAUCCCGGCAGUGAGUCGGCGGGGGAUAAGCUCCGUCGUCGAAAGGGAAACAGCCCAGAUCGUCGUCUAAGGUCCCCAAGCGUGUGCUAAGUGGGAAAGGAUGUGGAGUCGCAUAGACAGCCAGGAGGUUGGCUCAGAAGCAGCCACCCUUGAAAGAGUGCGUAACAGCUCACUGGUCUAGUGGUUCCGCGCCGACAAUGUAGCGGGGCUCAAGCACACCACCGAAGACGCGGCAGUAGCUUUGCUACUGGGUAGGAGAGCGUCCCAUGCGGGGCGAAGCGGCGGCGCAAGCCCGCCGUGGACCGCAUGGGAGUGAGAAUGCAGACAUGAGUAGCGAAAGACGGGUGAAGAUCCCGUCCGCUGGACGACCAAGGGUUCCAGGGCCACGUUCAUCGUCCCUGGGUGAGUCGGGUCCUAAGGCGAGGCCGACAGGCGUAGUCGAAUGGACGAACGGGUCGAUAUUCCCGUACCGGCAUGCAACCGGCAAAACCGAAUCCGCGAGUACUAACUUCCGGGUCCGGGCUCACGUCUCCUUCGGGAGCCGGAUGCCCUGGCCUGUUGGGACCGUAACGGUAGUAGGUCAGCGCGGGAGUGACGCAGAAGGGUAGCCGGCCGCGGAGGUGGUCUUCCGUGGUCAAGCACGCAGCCCGUCCCACAGGCAAAUCCGUGGGGCGCGUGGGCGAGGUGCGAUGAUGGGCGCCGCAGGGCGCGAUAUCCGGUGAUCCCGGCUGCCGAGAAAAGCUUCGGCGUGAGGCGGCAUGCCGCCCGUACCCCAAACCGACACUGGUGGUCAGGUAGAGAAUACCAAAGCGAUCGAGCGAAUCCUGGUCAAGGAACUCGGCAAAUCACUCCCGUUCCUUCGGUUUAAGGGAGACCCCCGAUGGUGAAGCGGCUUGCCCGCGGAGCUUUUGGGGGUGGCACAGACCAGGGGGUAGCGACUGUUUACCAAAAACACAGGAGCGUGCGAAGGCGCAAGCCGCUGUAUACGCUCUGACGCCUGCCCGGUGCCGGAAGGUUAAGAGGAUCCGUCAGGCCUCGGCCGAAGCGGUGAAUUCAAGCCCCGGUAAACGGCGGUGGUAACUAUAACCAUCCUAAGGUAGCGAAAUUCCUUGUCGGGUAAGUUCCGACCUGCACGAAUGGCGUAACGACUUCCCCACUGUCUCGACCAGGAGCUCGGCGAAAUUGCAGUACGAGUAAAGAUGCUCGUUAAGCGCAGAAGGACGAAAAGACCCCGGGACCUUUACUAUACCUUGGUAUUGGCAUUCGGUGUGGAUUGUGUAGCAUAGGCGGAAGGCUUCGAAGCCACGGCGCCAGCCGCGGUGGAGCCGCAAGGUGAAAUACCGCUCUGUUCGCAUUGGAUGUCUAACCUCGACCAGUCAUCCUGGUCAGGGACAGUGCCUGGCGGGUAGUUUAACUGGGGCGGUUGCCUCCCAAAGAGUAACGGAGGCGCUCAAAGGUUCCCUCAGCCCGGUUGGCAAUCGGGUGGCGAGUGUAAGUGCACAAGGGAGCUUGACUGCGAGACUGACGGGUCGAGCAGGGACGAAAGUCGGAACUAGUGAUCCGGUGCCGGUGUACGGACGCGGCAUCGCUCAACGGAUAAAAGGUACCCCGGGGAUAACAGGCUGAUCAUUCCCAAGAGUCCAUAUCGACGGGAUGGUUUGGCACCUCGAUGUCGGCUCGUCGCAUCCUGGGGCUGGAGCAGGUCCCAAGGGUUCGGCUGUUCGCCGAUUAAAGCGGCACGCGAGCUGGGUUCAGAACGUCGUGAGACAGUUUGGUCUCUAUCCUCUGCGCUCGUCGGAAUGUUGAGGAGGCCUGCCCAUAGUACGAGAGGACCUGGGUGGACGAACCUCUGGUAUGCCGGUUGUCACGCCAGUGGCACGGCCGGUUGGCUACGUUCGGAAGGGAUAACCGCUGAAAGCAUCUAAGCGGGAAGCCUGCUCCAAGAUAAGCAUUCCAUAGGACUACGGGUCCUUGAAGUCCCCAUGCAGAACACGUGGUUGAUAGGCCGGACGUGGAAGCCCCGCGAGGGGUGGAGCCGACCGGUACUAACGGACGAAAGGCAACACAAU
rnacentral:rRNA from 1 species